rnacentral:rRNA from 1 species
CUCCUGGAAACGGGUGGUAAUGCCGGAUGCUCCGCCCCCUCGCAUGGGGGGUCGGGAAGGCUUUUGCGGAAUGGGAUGGGGUCGCGUCCUAUCAGCUUGUUGGCGGGGCGACGGCCCACCAAGGCUUCGACGGGUAGCCGGCCUGAGAGGGCGACCGGCCACAUUGGGACUGAGAUACGGCCCAGACUCCUACGGGAGGCAGCAGUGGGGAAUAUUGCACAAUGGGGGGAACCCUGAUGCAGCGACGCCGCGUGCGGGAUGGAGGCCUUCGGGUCGUGAACCGCUUUUGAUUGGGAGCAAGCGUGAGUGAGUGUACCUUUCGAAUAAGCACCGGCUAACUACGUGCCAGCAGCCGCGGUAAUACGUAGGGUGCAAGCGUUGUCCGGAAUCAUUGGGCGUAAAGGGCUCGUAGACGGUUCGUCGCGUCCGGUGUGAAAGCCCAUCGCUUAACGGUGGGUCUGCGCCGGGUACGGGCGGGCUUGAGUGCGGCAGGGGAGGCUGGAAUUCCCGGUGUAACGGUGGAAUGUGUAGAUAUCGGGAAGAACACC